rnacentral:tRNA from 1 species
GCCAAGGUAGCUCAGUUGGUUUAGAGCGCCAGACUCAUAAUCUGGAGGUCGCGGGUUCAAGUCCCGCCUUUGGCA